GUAUUCUCGAGACAUUCUGACUAUGGUGCAUAGAAGUAGAGCUGACUGUCCACAACCUGAGGUUUAAAGUUGUUGAACCCUUGUGCAAUCUUAUUUUCGCCACAUGUUGACUUUGGAUUAAAAGUACUUGGUGCAAAUGCUAUGUCCAUUCCUGGCCUAUAUGGGUUUGUCCAGGUAUAAUGAGAUUGAUUCUAGAUGUGCUCAAACCUUGUCCGAGCUUGAAUGCACUUCAUGUAGAGUUUGGCCAAACUCCAAACUAAGCACACCAUAAAGAGUGGACCUCAUUGAAAUCCUUGUGAAGGUGAUCAUACUUUUCCUUUAAAUAGUGCAAGUUUAGUUUGAAACGUGAGUUCAGAUUUAUUUUCAUUAGUUUGCAUGGUUAUGUUUUAUAGUUAAAAUGUUAUAUUUUGAUCCAUAAUAUGCUUUUAUACAUUCAGAGCGUUAGGAGCUCUUUUCUCACACUUAUUCAAUUUUUUUUUUGUAAUUCUGUAUUUUUAAUUUUUUUUGUAUGUCAACUCUUGCUAGUAAUACCUUCUUUUUCUUUAGCUCUUCUCUAGCUGUAGAUUCUAAAGUGAUGAAUUGC